AUAAAAAACCAACGCCCUUCGGGGCUUCUUGGUGAUUCAUGAUAACUUUACGGAUCGCAUGGCCUUGCGCCGGCGACGGUUCAUUCAAAUUUCUGCCCUAUCAACUUUCGAUGGUAAGGUAUUGGCUUACCAUGGUUUCAACGGGUAACGGGGAAUUAGGGUUCGAUUCCGGAGAGGGAGCCUGAGAAACGGCUACCACAUCCAAGGAAGGCAGCAGGCGCGCAAAUUACCCAAUCCCGAUACGGGGAGGUAGUGACAAUAAAUACUGAUACAGGGCUCUUUUGGGUCUUGUAAUUGGAAUGAGUACAAUUUAAACCUCUUAACGAGGAACAAUUGGAGGGCAAGUCUGGUGCCAGCAGCCGCGGUAAUUCCAGCUCCAAUAGCGUAUAUUAAAGUUGUUGCAGUUAAAAAGCUCGUAGUUGAACCUUGGGCCUGGCUGGCAGGUCCGCCUCACCGCGUGUACUUGUCCGGCCGGGUCUUCCUUCUGGAGAACCUCAUGCCCUUCACUGGGCGUGU
rnacentral:rRNA from 1 species